GGGUGACGGCGUACCUUUUGUAUAAUGGGUCAGCGACUUACAUUCAGUGGCAAGCUUAACCGAUUAGGGCAGGCGUAGCGAAAGCGAGUCCGAACAGGGCGUUCAGUCGCUGGGUGUAGACCCGAAACCAGGUGAUCUAUCCAUGGCCAGGAUGAAGGUGCGGUAACACGUACUGGAGGUCCGAACCCACUAACGUUGAAAAGUUAGGGGAUGAGCUGUGGAUAGGGGUGAAAGGCUAAACAAACCUGGAAAUAGCUGGUUCUCUCCGAAAACUAUUUAGGUAGUGCCUCGUGUAUCACCUUCGGGGGUAGAGCACUGUCAUGGUUGUGGGGUCCAUUGCGGAUUACUACGCCAUAGCAAACUCCGAAUACCGAAGAGUGCAAUCACGGGAGACAGACAUCGGGUGCUAACGUCCGGUGUCAAGAGGGAAACAACCCAGACCGCCAGCUAAGGUCCCCAAAUAUUGCUAAGUGGGAAACGAAGUGGGAAGGCUAAAACAGUCAGGAGGUUGGCUUAGAAGCAGCCAUCCUUUAAAGAAAGCGUAAUAGCUCACUGAUCGAGUCGUCCUGCGCGGAAGAUGUAACGGGGCUAAGC
rnacentral:rRNA from 1 species